UUACAAAAAAUUAAAAAUAUAUUAUUUCCAUGUGUGCAGCCUACUUGUCAUUGUUAGAAUGCAAUACGGUCGACUUAAAAGAAAAAGAAAAAUAGACACAAGGAGGGAUUGAGGAUAGGCGACAGAAAGUUAGAGCUUGGAGAAUUGGGAAAGAAACGAAUAAAGAGAGAAUCAAUUACAUGAAAACAAAAUUUGGUUGGGUUGUGUUUGUAUGUAAAUUGUCUAUGUUGGUGUUAUUUGGCUGAAGCUUGAAGACCAGAAGCGCGAUGGGUCUGUUACGCUGUCGACGGAGGUGCAGAGGUGAGUGGCGGCAGUAUCGUUUGAUGGCAACAUCGACGGCGACUUGCUGCCUGUCAUGGAGAAUUGGAAAGGAUAUUGUACGCGCGGGGACCGGUGGUCGGAGCUUCAUCAGGGUUGGCGAGCUUGACGACCACAGGAAGCUCAGCCGCCGUGAGGGGAAGACAUAGACGAAUGACGGAGGGAGAUGAGUUUUAACUGAGAUCUAUCUCGAAAUAGGCCGUGCACAUGGAAAUAACAUACUAGUUGCCACAUAUAACGGG
rnacentral:lncRNA from 1 species